rnacentral:ncRNA from 1 species
AUCAGGAUGAAUUUAAUUUUGGUUCUGAUUGAACGUUUUUCAGUAGUUUUGAGACAUGCUAAUCGUUAUUCUAAUAAGUUUAAAUUAAAAAAUAGUAAUAAAAUUUAAUAUUAUACAAUUAGAAUAAGGUGUAAAGGUGAGUAUAGUAAAUCAGAUACCUUAUAGUCUCCUUAAAUAGGAGAUAUUUUUACUUCCUUCGCUAGUAAUGAAUUUAUAUUACUAUUUAUAGAAUCAGCUUUAUUAAAAAAAUUUUAUUUAAUUAUCGAAAGAUAAAUAGAUAAAAUCAAAUAAAGAGUUUAUUAGCCAGGAAACUUAUUAUAAGAUAUUAAUUAAUUAUAACUUUUUUUUAAUUUUAAAGAAAAGAUAUAGAUUAGUAUAAUACAAUAAGAAUAUGUAAAAAGGUAAUUUAGCUAAUUAUCAAUAAAGGAAAGUUUCUACUAUAAGAUUCGAUUUAUUUUGUUUAAGGAGGUAGUUGGUAGGGUAAAGGCCUACCAAGCCUACGAUCAAAAGCCAAGUUUGAUAGAACAGAUGGCCACAUUGGGAAUGAAAUGCCCCAAGUAGUAUAAACUACCAGCAGUCAAGAAUAUUAGUCAAUGCUCGCAAGAGUGAACUAGCUAACUGAAAUCACAAUAAUCUGUGAUAACGUAAGGGAAAAAACUGAUGUUACCUUACUAUUAAGUGUUGUCCAAAACUGGUGCCAGAAGACUCGGUAAGACCUGAAACGCAAACGUUAAUCGUCCUAAUCAGGCGUAAAGGGUUCGUAGGCUGCUUUUAAAAAUCAUUUUAUUUAAAAAAGCUCUGAUUUUAUCAGUUAAAUAAAAUAAUAAUAAUAAAAGCUAGAAUCAAAUUUAGGAUAAAAAAAUGCUUAGAGAUAGGGAUGGUAUCCAUAGAUACUAAGUGGAAUACUAAAGGUGAAAGCUUUUAUCUACUAAUGAUUGACGCUGAGGAACGAAGGUGAGAAUAGGAAAUAGGAUUAGAUACCCAGAUACCUCUCACUGUCAACGAUGAAUGGUAGUUUGUCAGUUUUAGAAAAAAUUGGUAACGAUGUUAACGCGAUAACCAUUCCGCCUUGCGAGUACGGUUGCAAAACUGAAACCAAAAAAAUUAGUCGGUCUCGAAGCAAACGAAGUGGAGCAUGUUAUUUAAUCCGAUAGUACGCGUAAAACCUUACCAGUUCUUGCAUAUCCAUUCUGUUUUUAACAGAAUGAGUAGUAAUUCUAUCUUGAAUUACUCGUUUACAGGUGUUGCAUGGCUGUCGUCAGUCCGUGUUUUGAGAAGUUUGGUUAACUCCGCUAACGGACGCAAUCCCUGUUGUUAAUUUAUUCUUAACAAUUUAUGAAUUUUAUAUAUUUUCAUUUGGGGCUAAGACAAGUCGUUAUGAUCCUAAUGAACUGGGCAAUAGACGUGCUGCAAAAACUUUUACAAAGUGAAGCAAAAUCGUACCCACAUUUCUUCUUUAUUUUUCUAAAAGCAAAUUAGAAUAGGAGAAGUUUUAGGGUAAUAAGAAAUAGCUAAUCAUUAAAGAAAGUUAAAAUAUUAAAUUAUAAACGGAUUGUCGCCUGUAAUUCGGCGACAUGAGGAAGGAAUUUCGAGUAAUCGUUGAUAAGUACGCAACGGUGAAGAUGGAAUUCGGGAUGAACUAACUGUCUGUCGCUGGGAAGAAGCUUACAUUGGGGGAAACUGCGACGAGGUUAUAACUUAAACAAAGGCACACACAAUAUUAUAAUUUGUUUAGCAAGCAAAAUAUUAAUAAAAUUUAAUUUGUAAAAUUAUUAAAUUUUGUGUAGUUUAUUUGCUAUUUAUGAUAUUUUUAUUGUAAAUUUGUCUUUUAUUUUUUAACACCUUUGUUAAGCUAAUUAGUUUCAGUUAACCUGAUUAAGUAACAUCUCAAAAGUCAUAGCAGGGUAGUGGUACUGGAAAGUGCUGCUGGAAAAUAAAAUUU